rnacentral:misc_RNA from 1 species
UACGGAGGGUGCAAGCGUUGUCCGGAAUCAUUGGGUUUAAAGGGUCCGUAGGCGGGACAAUAAGUCAGUGGUGAAAGUCUGUGGCUCAACCAUAGAAUUGCCAUUGAUACUGUUGUCCUUGAGUUAUUGUGAAGUGGUUGGAAUAUGUAGUGUAGCGGUGAAAUGCAUAGAUAUUACAUAGAACACCGAUUGCGAAGGCAGAUCACUAACAAUAUACUGACGCUGAUGGACGAAAGCGUAGGUAGCGAACAGG